AGUUUGCUUUACAUGACAACAGCAAUAAGGAAAAUACCAGGUUGUCAUAAUACUUCACAGAAGAAUUUAUUUUAUCUUGCAUUAAGAAGCAUCUCACCAAAAGGAAGUUAAUGAUGAACAUGGCCUCACUUCUGCCCCAUCGAUAUGUUUGAUGGAACAACAACAACAAUGGACUGCCUUCAAGUUGAUUCUGACUUAUGGCGACCCAUGAAUAGGGUUUUAAUGGAGGGAUGUAUUGAGUCUCCAGGCGGCAGUGUGGGAGCCAUUUUGCCUCAAAUCUACCACCAAUGAGAGAAGGGCAUUAUCAGACAUUAGAAUUGGACCAACGUCUGCAUCAACAACAGCAGGGAGCAGCGUUUUGGAGAUCAGAAACAUGCCUAUGUGUGAAUAAACCUUAUGCCUUUUUGAGUAAAAA